UCCCCCUAUAAAUACCCCUUUAUGAAAUCAUUUCCUUUCAAAGAUGGAUUUUGUUCCACACUGCUAACCUCAGAUCCCAAGCUCUCUCUCACUCACUCACUCACACAAACACACACACACACACACACACACACAGAAUGUCCCAAAUGAAAUCAAUCAUGAGCAUGAUGGAGCUCAGCUCCAUUGCUUGCUUUUGCAUCUUCUUGGCCUUUCUCAUCAACCUCGUGAUCAAGUUCGUCCUCCCAAGCUCCGUAGCAGAAAGGAAAAGGCUGCCUCUGCCUCCAGGCUCUCUGGGUUGGCCCUACAUAGGCGAGACAUUCCAACUCUACUCUCAGAACCCAAAUGUCUUCUUUGCUUCCAAGCAGAAGAGGUACGGAUCGAUCUUCAAGACCCAUAUCUUGGGCUGCCCUUGUGUGAUGAUUUCGAGCUCGGAGAGCGCCAAGUUCGUCCUUGUGACGAAGUCCAAUCUCUUCAAGCCGACUUUUCCGGCAAGCAAGGAGAGGAUGCUGGGCAAACAGGCCAUCUUCUUCCACCAAGGGGAGUACCACUACAGGCUUAGGAAACUCGUCCUCAGAGCGUUCACGCCCGACGCCAUCUGGAACCGAGUCUCUGAUAUCGAGUCCAUCGCCCUGGAUUGCCUCGGGUCGAUGGAAGGCCGGGUCAUCAACACCUACCAAGAAAUGAAGACGUACUCAUUCAACGUGGCUCUGCUGUCGAUAUUCGGAAAGGACGAGGUGCUGUACAGGGAGGACCUGAAGAGGUGCUACUACGUCCUCGAGGAGGGCUACAACUCGAUGCCUAUCAAUAUGCCCGGAACACUCUUCCACAAGUCCAUGAAGGCGAGGAGAGAGCUUGCCGGAAUCCUGUCGAAGAUAAUAUCGAGGAGGAGGAGGAGGAGGAGGAAUAGCAGUAGCAGUAGCAGUAGCAGCAGCAGCGAUCUGUUGGGGUCAUUCAUGGACCUGAGAGAAGGACUGAGCGAUGAGCAGAUUGCGGACAACGUCAUAGGCGUCAUCUUCGCAGCGCGGGACACCUCCGCCAGCGUCCUCACUUGGUGCCUCAAGUUCCUGUCCGAGUACCCGAGCGACUUGCAAGCUGUUACCGAGGAGCAGGAGGCCAUAAUAAGGAAGAAGGGCAAAGAGGCGAAGAGACGGCUGGACUGGACGGAUACGAGGCAGAUGCCGCUCACCUCUCGCGUGAUCCAAGAGACGCUGAGGGUUGCCUCGAUCCUGUCCUUCACUUUCAGAGAGGCCGUCGAAGAUGUGGAACACCAAGGAUAUCUGAUACCGAAGGGGUGGAAGGUUUUACCGCUGUUCAGGAACAUUCACCACAGCCCUGAAAAUUUCCCAGAGCCACACAAGUUUGACCCAUCAAGAUUCGAGGUGGCACCAAAGCCUAACACUUUCCUGCCAUUUGGCAGUGGGGCCCACUCGUGUCCGGGGAGUGAGUUAGCAAAGCUGGAGAUUUUGGUUCUUCUCCACCAUCUCACCACAAAGUACAGGCAAGCUGUUUGCACCACGAACUUUAGACUGCGACAACGUUCAAAGCAUAUGUUGUAUGCAUCAUCUCUUUAACGGGAGUUGGUUCUUUUCACCACAUCAUGCAGUGUAGUAUGAACUUUCAAUGAUGACCAUAACGCAGAGGAAUUGGUCCCGACUGUGACAUAGAUCUUUGGAUUAAAUCGGACUGGACAGUUUUGACACUAGCAUGUGGUCUAUGAUGAGCUCAGAGAAUGGGAUUCAGUACGGCCCAUUUGCUCUUCCCUUGAAUGGAUUGCCCAUUAGAUUGUCCCUCAGGACACAACAUCAAUGAUAGAGCACCAGGAGGGGAACAGAUCACCUGGUCUGCAACCUUAGCUAUGCUGGGACAGGUGCCGCGUUCCUAUUUGGAGCAAGAGAUCGAACCGAAACUCCUCUCUCCAUUUUUGGCAAGAGAGAUUAAGGAAGUGAGCAGAGAAGAGGGGAUAGAGAGAGAGAGAGAGAGAGAGAGAGAGAGAGUUCAUAACUCAGCACAGAGAGAGAGAGAGAGUUCAUAUUAGUGUACUGUUAUCGGAUUUUGGUGAGAGAGAAAGGCGAUUUCUAAAGAGAAAACUGAAAACCUCUUUUCAUUUCAAAUUUAAGUGAAUUCUUCAUUAAAUGAA